AAAUCCAUCAGCUCAAGUUGGGUUUUGCAGCAGCAGUUUUCCAGUGUCCUUUUGGAACUUUCUAGUAAUGUGUGGGCUGAAUGAGUAGUUGGGAGGCUGCAUUUGGACUCCAUCAGUAGUUAGUGGCUAAGAAUAUUGGUGAGCUUCAUGGAUUUUGUGCAUUUUAUCUUCUACAGCCUUAAGGGUCCAUUUGAUUGUCGGGUGAAAUCUCGUGGGGAGGGUGAAAUGUGUACGGGCGGGUGAAAUUUUACCCACCCGACUGAAAACACAUCAAACGGGGUGACAUUUCACAUGUUUAACGCAAAAGGGAGCAGGUGAAAUUUCACCCGCUCGACAUUUUCAUCUCAUAGUCCGUCGCACCUCUCCUCUUCCCUCCGCAGGUCCUCCUCCCCCGCAUUCCUGCCUUCUCAUCAUCGCACCAGAGGCGUCACCGCUCUCACCGUCGGCUCUCCACUCCGCCGGGAAGAGGGACGCAGAGACCGGGCAGCAUCAACCACUGCCAUAGUUGCCACUCCUUCCCCUCUGUUACUGCCCCGUCCUCCUCCCCCGCAUUCCUGCCUUCUCAUCAUCGCACCAGAGGCAUCACCGCUCUCACCGUCGGCUCUCCACUCUGCCGGGAAGAGGGACGCAGAGACAGGGCAGCAUCAACCACUGCCACAGUUGCCGCUCCUUCCCCUCUGUUAUUGCCUCUUUACUUACCGCUGCGUCUGCUCUACUCAACUUGGCCCGUUGCGGCGGUGAUGAAGUUGUGCGAGGGAUCCUAAGCGUCGACUCCGUCGUUGCCGCCAUCACCGAUCUCGUUGAUGUUUGGAGCGAGAGGGCCAGGAGCAAGGCGAGCAAGUUACUCUCCAUCUUGGGCAUCCAGGAUAGCCUUCAUCCCCUCUCCGACGGGUCGAACUAUUAAUGAUUCUUUGUUGGUAUACUUAAUUUGGACGAAUUAUGAAUCUUCUUGUCCAGUUUUCACAUCUUGUAUAUAGUAUCUGUACAUUCACUCAGGCUCACACAUUUGAUAAUUGUUAUUGUAUAAUUUUCUUUCUGAAGAAAUGAAAAUGUUUUGGUUCAUAUAGUUUCUCUGAAUUCUUGUUGAUUUUCGGUGCAUACUUGUUCCUCUUAUUGUUCCGAAAUCCUUGGACGGUU